rnacentral:rRNA from 1 species
GCUGCAGAGGUAUGGGGCUGGGCAACCUGCUUAAUUUAAGCAUAUUACUAAGCAGAGAAAAAUAAGCUAACCAGGAUUCUCUCAGUAACGGCGAGUGAAGAGAGAGGAGUCCAGCGGCAGGCAUGGGAAAUGUGGAGUACACAAGACCGACUCCAGUGUCGCUAAGGGGGCUCAAGUCCGUCUGAUCGAGGCUCACCCCGCAGACUGUGUUAGGCCGGUAGCGGCCUCCGGCGUGCCGUGAUCGGGUCUUUUUGGAGUCGGGUUGCUUGGGAAUCUAGGGCUAAAUACGGGCACGAGACUGAUGGCUGUACUGUAAGAGAAGUUGAAAUGAACUUUGAAGAGAGUUCAAGAGGGCGUGAAACUGUCGAGAGGUAAACGGUGGGGUCUGUGCAUUCCUCCGCAGGAUUCGACAUGGCAAGCAGGUUGGUUGCCCGGAACGGCGGAUGCCCUUGCGGGACUGCUGCCUGGGCGCACCCGGCCCCAGCAGGGCACAUUUCUUCUGUGGUGGUGCACUGCGACCAGCUGUGGGUCGGCUGUGAAGGCCCCUGGGGGUAGGUGGCUCUCUGCUUCGGCAGAGAGUGUUACAGCCCCUGGCAGCAGUUUUACUGUGUCCGCAGGGGUGAGGGAGAUUGACUGCCGCCGUGCCCUUCUCUGGCAACCGUCCCAGCCGCUCUUGGGGUGGGGGGUGGUGGCGACAGGAGACAGGGCUCCCAAUGGGACUUGUCGACUGUGGUGGACUGCCCUCAGUGUGCACCGACCAUGAUGCGCUGCUGGGCAGGGAGGCCCACAAAGGGCGCGGGGUCUGCAGUGAUGUCGGUUACCCACCCGACCCGUCUUGAAACAUGGACCAAGGAGUUUUAACACUUGCACGAAUCUGGCGGGGCUGAACGAAACCCUGUGGUGCAAUGAAGGGGAGUACUGGCUGGGAUGGGAUCCAUCGCGGUAGGCGCACCACUGGCCCAUCUCGCCUGCUUUGUCAGGGAGAUGGAGCAUGAGCGUGUGUGAUAGGAACCGAAAGAUGGUGAACUAGGCCUGGGCAGGACAAAGCCAGAGGAAACUUUGGUGGAGGGCAGUAGCGGUCCUGACGUGCAAAAACGGUUGUCUGACCUGGCUAUAGGGGCGAAAGACUAAUCAAACAUCUAGUAGCUGGUUUCCUCCACAAGUUUCCCUCAGUAUAGCUGGCGCACAGAAACCCCAGUUUUAUCUGGUAAAGUGAAUGAUUAGAGGUCAUGGGGCCGAUAUGAUCUUAACCUAGUCUGAAACUUUAAAUUAGGUAAGAAGCCUGGCUCGCUGGCGUGGAAGUCGGGCAUCAAAUGCACUUUUGGUAAGCAGAACUGAUGAUGUGGGAUCAACUGAACACUGGGUUAAGAUGCUCGGUUAAGGUGCCCGAUGCCAAUGCUCAUCAGACCCCAGAAAAUGUAUUGGUUGAUAUAGACAGCAGGACAGUGGCCAUGGAAGUCGGAAUCCGCUAAGGAGUGUGUAACAACACACCUGCCGAAUCAACUAGCCCUGAAAAUGUACGGGGCUGAGAGCUUCUGGGGCUAAACCGCGACGAGUAGGAGGGCCGCUGCGGUGUACAUGGAAGCCUGGGUCGAAGGCCCGGGUGGAGCAUCUUCAGGUGCAGAUCUUGGUGGUAGUAGCAAACAAUAUGGUCGAGCGCCGGUCGAAAAGGAGUCUGGUUCAGAUCCCGAACCCGGAGUGGUGGAGACGGCUGCCCUUGCGGCAUCCAGUUCGGUAAUGCAAGCGAUCCUAGAGAAGCAGGCGAGCUCCCGGGGAGAGUUCUGUUUUCUUUUUUAAGUGCAGGACGCCCUGGAAUGGGUUCUCCCCAAGAGAGGGCCCAAGCCUUGGAAAGCGUUGUGUUUCCAGCAAGCGCUGGCUGGUCCUUAAAAAUGUGAGGAGAUGGUGUAAAUCACACGCCGGGCCAUACCAAUAUCCGCAGUUCUCCAUGGUGAACAGCCUUUGUUAUGUUGUAAUAAUGUAGAUAAGGGAAGUCAGCAAGUCGGAUCUGUAACUUCAGGAAGGGCUGGGUCGGCCCCCUGCUAGGGUUCGAGGCCAGCAUUCUGCCUCGGCCGACGCCUAGCAGCUGAUUUAGAACUUGUGCAGACCAGUGGAAUUUGACUGUUAAAUUAAAACAAAGCAUUGCGUAAGGCCCACAAUGUAUGUUGAUGCAAUGCCCAGUGCUCUGAAAAGUCAAAGUGAAGAAAUACGCUGGUAAACGGCGGGAGUAACUAUGACUCUUAAGGUAGCCAAAAUGCCUCGUCAUCUAAUUAGUGACGCACAUCAAUGGAUGAACGAGAUUCCCACUGUCCCUACCUACUAUCUAGCAAACCACAGCCAAGGGAACAGGGUUGGCAUAAAACCCCGCUGGGAUUCACUCUAGUAUGCCACUGUGAAGCGACACGAGGUGUAGGAUAAGUGGGAGGCCCUCAGGCCGCCGGUGAAAUACCACUACUCAUUGUUUUUUCACUUGCCCAUUGAGGCGGGGGUGAGCUCCGUGGGGCUCCCGCUUCUGGCUCCAAGCGCCCGCCGGGCGUGACCUGCUCCGGGGACAGUGGCAGGUGGGGAGUUUGACUGAGGCAGUAUACCUGGCAACGAUAACGCAGGUGUCCUAAGGUGAGCUCAGGGAGGACAGACAUCUCCAGCGGAGCAGAACGGCAAAAGCUUGCUUGAUCUCGAUUUUCAGUAUGAAUACAGACCAUGAAAGUGGGGCCUCUAGAUCCUUCUGACUUUUUGGGUUUCAGGCAGGAGGUGUCAGAAAAGUUACCACAGGGAUAACUGGCUUGUGGCGGCCAAGCGUUAAUGGCGACGUCGCUUUUUGAUCCUUCGAUGUAGGCUCUUCCUAUCAUUGUGAAGCAGAAUUCACCAAGCGUUGGAUUGUUCACCCACUAAUAGGGAACAUGAGCUGAGUUUAGACCGUUGUGAGACGGGUUAGCUUUACCCUACAGAUGAUGUGUUGUUGCAAUAGUAAUCCUGCUCAGUACGAGAAGAACCACAGGUUCAGACAAUGUGCUUGACUGACGAGCCAAUUGGACGAAUCUACCAUCCCGCCGCCUAAACUGUAACGAUACUGCAGCGCUGUGGAGCCUCGGUUGGCCUAGGAUAGCCGGCCUCUGGGCCGGUGAAAAGAGCUGCUCGUCUCAGGACUAGUGUGGCCAGAAGGGGACCACCUCUCUCGCCCGUAGUGCACUGC